UUGCACUCCAGCCUGGGCCACGCAGCGAGACACUGCCUUAAAAAGAAAAGAGGCGCCCAGGCGCAGCGAGGUUCCACGUGAGCACUUGCGUCUCUCCUCAAACCUAACGAUGCCGCGGGAACUGAGGAGCCAAAUGAAACUGGACGGGAGAACCGAAGCGAAGCCGAAGCGUUAGCCCAGAGCGAGGGCGGACUGGAAAGCCGGAGCGGGGCCGGGCGCGCCGCCCGAAAAGGCUGCCCCUUCAUCCCAGCGGUAACCGCCGCAGAAGAGGAGAGAUGGCUCCGGCUCCGCCAGCGGCACCGCCUCACGCUGGAGGAGGGCAAACUGGGCGUGGAGCGGUGCCUGGAGGCGCUGGUCUCCGGCGACAUCGAAGACCACGAGACGAGAUCGGGCGGCUGCGGCCUCUGCGGGGCCCGCGGGCUCAAGGAUAUGAAGACUUGGGUGACUCAGAAGCGGAGAAUGAAGCAAAAGGUAAUUUUGCACCUCAAAAGAAGCCAGUUUGGGUGGAUGAAGAAGAUGAAGAUGAGGAAAUGGUUGACAUGAUGAACAAUCGGUUUCGGAAAGAUAAUGAUGAAAAAUGCUAGUGAAAGUAAACUUUAGAAAGACAGCCUUAAGAAGAGACUUUAAGAAUUCCAGCAUGCCGUGGGAGGAGUACCUGCCUGGGCAGAGACUAAUAGGCGGAAAACAUCUUCAGAUGAUGAAAGUGAAGAGCAUGAAGAUGCUUUGUUGCAAAGGACAGGGAAUUUCAUAACCACAAUAACUUCUCUGCCAAGAGGAAUCCUGAAGAUGAGGAACUGCCAGCGUUCCUCAUCUGAACGUCCUACUGCUGCUCAGAUCUCAUCUGUGCAGUUCCAUCCGUGUGCACAGAUUGUGAUUGUUGCUGGAUUAGAUAACCUGUAUCACUAUUUCAGGUUGAUGGAAGAACAAAUCCUAAAAUCCAAAGCACCUAUUUGGAAAGGUUUCCAAUCCUUAAGGCUUGUCUUAGUGCUAAUGGGGAAGAAGUUUUAGCCACGAGUACCCACAGCAAGGUUUUUUAUGUCUAUGACAUGCUAGCUGGAAAAUUAAUUCCUGUGCAUCCAGUGAGAGGUUUGAAAGAAGAUGGUGAGGAGCUCUGAAGUCUCCCCAGAUGGGUCCUUCUUGCUCAUAAAUGGCACUGCCAGGUAUUUGCAUUUGCUAUCAAUGAAGACCAAAGAACUGAUUGGAAGCAUGAAAAUUAAUGGAAGGGUUGCAGCAUCCACGUUCUCUUCAGAUAGUAAGAAAGCAUAUGCCUCUUCGGAGGAUGGAGAAGUUUAUGUUUGGGAUGUGAACUCAAGGAGGUGCCUUAACAGAUUUGUUGAUUAAGGCAGUUUAUAUAGAUGAAGCAUUGCCACAUCUAGGAAUGGAUAGUAUGUUGCUUGUGGUUCUAAUUGUGGAGUAGUAAAUAUAAACAGUCAAGAUUCUUGUCUCCGAGAAACAAACCCAAAGCCAAUAAAAGCUAUAAUGAACUUGGUUACAGGUGUUACUUCUCUGACAUUCAAUCCUACUACAGAAAUAUUGGCAGUUGCUUCAGAAAAAAUGAAAGAAGCAGUCAGAUUGGUUCAUCUUCCUUCCUGUACAGUAUUUCAAACUUCCCAUUCAUUAAAAAGAAGAAUAUUUCUCAUGUUUAUACCAUGGAAUUUUCUCUCAGAGGUGGAUACUUUGCCUUGGGGAAUGAAAAGGGCAAGGCCCUGAUGUAUAGGUUGCAUCAUUACUCAGACUUCUAAACAGACUAUUUGAAGUCCAGUUGAGUCACAAGAGAAGCCUGUCUUGAUAUAUCAUCUCAGAAAAUUUCCCAAAUGUGUGAUAAUAUGUGGAAAAUGGUUUAUAAAGCCAGCUAUGCUUAAGAGCCAGUAAUGUCUUAAUAAACAUGUGGCAGCUUU